AUUGAACGCUGGCGGCACGCCUAACACAUGCAAGUCGAGCGGUAACAUGGUGAGUAGCAAUACUGACUGAUGACGAGCGGCGGACGGGUGAGUAAUAGGUAGGAACAUGCCCUUCAGAGGGGGAUAACCAGGGGAAACUCUGGCUAAUACCGCGUACACUCGAGAGAGGAAAGCUGCCCGCAAGGGUGGCGCUGAAGGAGUGGCCUGCGACUGAUUAGCUAGUUGGUAGGGUAAGAGCCUACCAAGGCGAUGAUCGGUAACUGGUCUGAGAGGACGACCAGUCACACUGGGACUGAGACACGGCCCAGACUCCUACGGGAGGCUG
rnacentral:rRNA from 1 species